UGGGGAAUCUUAGACAAUGGGGGCAACCCUGAUCUAGCCAUGCCGCGUGAGUGACGAAAGGCCUUAGGGUCGUAAAGCUCUUUCGCCAGGGAAGAUAAUGACGGUACCUGGUAAAGAAGUCCCGGCUAACUCCGUGCCAGCAGCCGCGGUAAUACGGAGGGGACUAGCGUUGUUCGGAAUUACUGGGCGUAAAGCGCACGUAGGCGGGCUGUUAAGUCAGGGGUGAAAUCCUGGGGCUCAACCCCAGGACGGCCCUUGAUACUGGCAGCCUCGAGUCCGAGAGAGGUGAGUGGAAUUCCGAGUGUAGAGGUGAAAUUCGUAGAUAUUCGGAGGAACACCAGUGGCGAAGGCGGCUCACUGGCUUGGUACUGACGCUGAGGUGCGAAAGCGUGGGGAGCAGACAGGAUUAGAUACCCUGGUAGUCCACGCCGUAAACGAUGAAUGCCAGACGUCGGCAGGCAUGCCUGUCGGUGUCACACCUAACGGAUUAAGCAUUCCGCCUGGGGGAGUACGGCCGCAAGG
rnacentral:rRNA from 1 species